AUUUGGUUACGAUGGGGUCUGCCAGUUUCUCACUACAGAAGGAUGGAGAGUGAAGACAGGGACACAACUCUGAAGAACUUCAGGAAUCAGGAAGGACAGAAAGGGAAGGCAUGGUCAAAAGGGAUCUGGUACAGAUGGCGCAGAAUGAAAGAAAUCUACCUUUCAACAACUUUGUAGCUCCCACCGAGCCCCUAAGCCUUGAAAAUACCUUUCCCUUAUCUACUGAUUGACUUUGAAAUAUGUGAAGACAAUUUUUC